rnacentral:lncRNA from 1 species
GCGGUUUUUUGUUUUUUGUUUAACCAUUGUUGGAGUAGUCUGGAAACUGUUGCUGAGGAAGUCUGGAAAUUGUGGCUGACCCAUUGUCCUUGCCUCCUACCAGCUGGUGGUGCAGCUUCUGAUGGUAGGGCAGUUUCUGACUGGCUGCCUGAGGUCUGGAGUUUUUUCAGUAACUGAAUUGCCCAGUUCUUGGAAACAGAGAUAUAGGCCUAGUCUCCUGAACUGCCAGUUUGAAGCCUGUUCUGGAUUCAGCCUGUCUCAGAGGAAAAUGAAGAAGGACACUUUCUGGAAGUUAUAUAUCACAUCUGCAGACAUCCCAAAAGCCAGACUCCAUUUACAUCUGGUUAAAGAAUGAUUACAGUGUUUAAAAGAUUGCUUCAAAUCCAUGCCUUCAAGAGGAUCACUAAUAAUGCAGAAUUUAAAUAUUAAAGAGGAGCAGACUAAAUUGUAUCUGAAAUACAGUUAUCAAUGAUGACAGCUUAGAAGCGAAGAGAAACUCUCAGUGAUGGAGACUGAGCGUGCACUGCUGCUGUUGGUCUAGGCAGCUUCUCUCUGUCAGAACUGUAUUCUAGCAGGGAUAUUUCUAUUUGAGAUGCGGUGUCUUCUUGUUCAGAGGUUAGGGUAGAUUGACCUUUAUCCAAGCACUUGAUGGGUGGAGAUAGGAGGUUUGGGAAUUCAAGAUCAUUCUCUGCUACAUAUCAAGGUUGAGGACCACUUGCAUUAUACAACAUCUUGCUUCAAAAAAAUUAGAGAAAGGGAAAGAUAUGGGAUAGGGGAGGGAGAGAGCGCUACAGU